rnacentral:rRNA from 1 species
AGCUCAGCACCGAAUCCCGCGGCCGAUAUCGGGCGCCGGGAAAUGUGGUGUUAGGGAGGGUCCGUUAUCUCGAGAUUCGGCGACGCGUCCAAGUCCUUCUUGAACGGGGCCACGGCCCAUAGAGGGUGCCAGGCCCGUAGCGAUCGUCGCCGGUUGCGAGUGGAUCUCUCCUCAGAGUCGGGUUGCUUGAGAGUGCAGCCCUAAGUGGGUGGUAAACUCCAUCUAAGGCUAAAUAUGACCACGAGACCGAUAGCGAACAAGUACCGUGAGGGAAAGUUGAAAAGCACUUUGAAGAGAGAGUUCAAGAGUACGUGAAACCGUUUAGGGGUAAACCUGAGAAACCCGAAAGGUCGAAGGGAGAAAUUCAUUCGCGUUUCGCGGUAGGCGUUUGGCGGUCGCGUGACGAAAAACGCGCGUACGUUUCGGCGUACGUGUUCGUUUUUUCGCUCCAUCCGUCAUUCGAUCCGAUCGUGAACGCGUGCACUUUUCUCUCGGUAGGACGUCGCGAUCCGUUGGGUGUCGGUCUAAGGUUCGCGGUGGAGCCCGCAAAUAUACGUUUCACGACGCUAUUUGUGGACCCGCGUCUUUUCCCGACCGACUCGCUCGACGGUAUACGAUAGGUUUAAGGCCGCUCGAUACUUACACGAGCGUUCGACUCGUCGCAAGCGCGUCAGAUGUUUGUCGGCGAUCGGACCAGGUGCCGGUUCCGACCUCUGAUGACUGUUGGCGACGAAGUUCUCGAACGGACCUUAAUUUUCUUCACGGAAAAUUUUCAAAAACCGAUCUGCGACGCUAUAGCUUUGGGUACUUUCAGGACCCGUCUUGAAACACGGACCAAGGAGUCUAGCAUGCGCGCGAGUCAUUGGGAAUUUAAUAAACCUAAAGGCGUAAUGAAAGUAAAAGUUCGUCUCGCACGAACCUAGGGAAGAUGAACGGUUUUUUUGUGGACCGUUCCGCAUUCCCGGGGCGUCUCGUUCUCAUCGCGAGAAGAGGCGCACCAAGAGCGUACACGCUGGGACCC